rnacentral:rRNA from 1 species
UACGGAGGGUGCAAGCGUUAAUCGGAAUUACUGGGCGUAAAGGGUGCGUAGGUGGUUCGUUAAGUCCGUUGUGAAAGCCCCGAGCUCAACUUGGGAAUUGCAGUGGAUACUGGCGAGCUAGAGUGCGGUAGAGGAAGGUGGAAUUCCCGGUGUAGCGGUGAAAUGCGUAGAGAUCGGGAGGAACACCGGUGGCGAAGGCGGGUCUCUGGGCCGAUACUGACGCUGAGGAGCGAAAGCGUGGGGAGCGAACAGG